rnacentral:rRNA from 1 species
AGUGAACGCUGGCGGUAGGCCUAACACAUGCAAGUCGAACGGCAGCACAGUAAGAGCUUGCUCUUACGGGUGGCGAGUGGCGGACGGGUGAGGAAUACAUCGGAAUCUACUUUUUCGUGGGGGAUAACGUAGGGAAACUUACGCUAAUACCGCAUACGACCUACGGGUGAAAGCAGGGGAUCUUCGGACCUUGCGCGAUUGAAUGAGCCGAUGUCGGAUUAGCUAGUUGGCGGGGUAAAGGCCCACCAAGGCGACGAUCCGUAGCUGGUCUGAGAGGAUGGUCAGCCACACUGGAACUGGGACACGGUCCAGGCUCCUACGGGAGGCAGCAGUGGGGAAUAUUGGACAAUGGGCGCAAGCCUGAUCCAGCCAUACCGCGUGGGUGAAGAAGGCCUUCGGGUUGUAAAGCCCUUUUGUUGGGUAAGAAAAGCAGCAGGUUAAUACCCCGCUGUUCUGACGGUACCCAAAGAAUAAGCACCGGCUAACUUCGUG